rnacentral:rRNA from 1 species
GAUGAACGCUAGCGGGAGGCCUAACACAUGCAAGCCGAGCGGGAUUUGUUGGUUAGCUUGCUAACUAACAAUGAGAGCGGCGUACGGGUGCGUAGCACGUGUGCAACCUGCCUUUAUCUUGGGGAUAGCCUUUCGAAAGGAAGAUUAAUACCCCAUAACAUAUUGAUUUGCAUCAGUUAAUAUUGAAAGCUCCGGCGGAUAGAGAUGGGCACGCGUAAGAUUAGCUAGUUGGUGAGGUAACGGCUCACCAAGGCUGCGAUCUUUAGGGGGCCUGAGAGGGUGAUCCCACACACUGGUACUGAGACACGGAACAGACUCAUACGGGAGGCAGCAGUGAGGAAUAUUGGACAAUGGGUGAGAGCCUGAUCCAGCCAUCCCGCGUGAAGGAAUAAGGACCUAUGGUUUGUAAACUUCUUUUAUACAGGGAUAAACCUACUCUCGUGAGGGUAGCUGAAGGUACUGUAUGAAUAAGCACCGGCUAACUCCGUG